GUCGUCUUCCCGCAGGUGCAGCUCCGACUACUGUUCCUAGCUCCAAAGCGGCGGGGGUUGGGGCGGCCGGCCGCCCCCGGGGUCGGGCCAGCCCCCCCCGCCGCUGCUCCUGCGCCUCUCCACGCUUCCAGCUUCCAACCCCUGCGCGCGCCUGCGGCCGCUCGCCAGUCCCAAGGCUCCGAUGCUGCUGCUAGCUCCCGCCGAGGGCGCUUAGAACUUCAUCAGGUGCGGGCGGUCGCCGUCCUUCAGGGUGAAGCGGGUCGACAGGUAGCCCUUCAGGUCGGCCGACAGGGCCGGCAGCAGAGCGGCGUCCAGGGUCUUCUGGUUGGCGAUGUACUCCUGGCUGAGCACGUUCUUCUUCGCCUCCGACUGGUCGAAGAACUCCUUCUCGCCCUUCUUGCUCGACUUGCUCUCCACCGCCUUGAAGUAGCUGUCCGUGAACUUCGACAGGUCCAGCUUGGGCAGCGACACCUUGGUGCUGGUGCCAAUCACGUACGCGGCGUUGACGCGACGCACCGGCACACCGUUCAGCUUGAACGGGCCGGUAACGAGCAGCAGGCCCGAAGGCAGCUGGCCCAGGAAGAUGACACGCUUGCCCUUGAAGCGACCGGCCAGCAGAAUCAGCACGGUGCCUGGCGUGAUGCUGGCGCGCAGCUUGGUCUGCUUGUGCACAGCGUUGUGCGACAGAGGCUUGGGCACAUCAUCGGCGGGGUAAAAGCGGGGAGCCUUGCCCUCAGCCUGCUUGGCCACAGCCUUCUUGGCGGGCGCGGGGAACUUGCCGCCGUUCUUCUUCUUGAUCGCCC
rnacentral:lncRNA from 1 species